GACGAACGCUGGCGGCGUGCUUAACACAUGCAAGUCGAACGAUGAAGCUGGAGCUUGCUCCGGUGGAUUAGUGGCGAACGGGUGAGUAACACGUGAGUAAUCUGCCCUUGACUCUGGGAUAACUGCGGGAAACUGUAGCUAAUACCGGAUACGACACCUUCGGGCAUCCGAUGGGUGUGGAAAGAAUUUCGGUCAAGGAUGAACUCGCGGCCUAUCAGCUAGUUGGUGAGGUAAUGGCUCACCAAGGCGACGACGGGUAGCCGGCCUGAGAGGGUGACAGGCCACACGGGGAGUGAGACACGGCCCAGACUCCUACGGGAGGCAGCAGUGGGGAAUAUUGCACAAUGGGCGAAAGCCUGAUGCAGCGACGCCGCGUGGACGAUGAAGGCCUUCGGGUUGUAAAGUCCUUUUGCUCGGGAACAAUUUUUGAGUGUACCGAGAGAAUAAGAGGUUGCUAACUCUGUGCCAGCCGCCGCGGUAA
rnacentral:rRNA from 1 species